CAUGAAGCUGGUUGAGAGAAUGCCAAGAGUGUGCAAAGCUGCCAUCAAGGCAAAGGGAGGGUAAAAUUGAAGCCGAGGACUUCACCAGCAGGUUAUGCAGAGAGCUAAACUUCUCACCUCAGCCUUACCUUGUGUCUUUCCUCAAGAGGACCCUCCCUGCUUUCCAUACAGUGCUGGACAAAUAU